rnacentral:rRNA from 1 species
UAGAUACCCUAUUAUUUGAAAUGUAAUUUAUUUACUAAAGUAGUAGUAGUUAUGUUCUUGAAACUUAAAAAAUUUGGCGGUAUUUUAGUCUAUUCAGAGGAACCUGUCCUAUAAUCGAUAAUCCACGUUGGACCUCACUUAAAUUUGUUUUCAGUAUGUAUACCGUCGUUAUAAGAAUAUUUUAUAAGAAUAAUAAUUUUCUAGAUUUUUUAUAAAAAUUUAUAUCAGAUCAAGGUGCAGCUUAUAUUUAAGUAGAGAUGGGUUACAAUAAUUAUAUUUAUACGGAUUAAUUUUUGAAAUAGAAUUAUGAAGGUGGAUUUGAAUGUAAAAUUAUAAAGAUUAAUAAUUUGAUUUUAGCU